rnacentral:rRNA from 1 species
AAUCAACGCUGGCGGCGUGCCUAACACAUGCAAGUCGAACGCGAGAGGGGCUUCGGCCCCGAUUGAGUGGCGAACGGGUGAGUAACGCGUGGGUGACCUACCUUCGAGUGGGGGAUAACGUCCCGAAAGGGACGCUAAUACCGCAUAACAUCCUGCUUUUGAAUGGGUGGAGAUCAAAGCCGGGGAUCGCAAGACCUGGCGCUUGAUGAGGGGCCCGCGUCUGAUUAGCUAGUUGGNGAGGUAACGGCCCACCAAGGCAACGAUCAGUAUCCGGCCUGAGAGGGCGGACGGACACACUGGGACUGAGACACGGCCCAGACUCCUACGGGAGGCAGCAGUGGGGAAUUGUUCGCAAUGGGCGCAAGCCUGACGACGCAACGCCGCGUGGAGGAUGAAGGUCUUCGGAUUGUAAACUCCUGUUGCCCGGGACGAAUGGGCUCCGACCUAACACGUCGGAGUGUGACGGUACCGGGUGAGGAAGCCCCGG